rnacentral:rRNA from 1 species
AACGAACGCUGGCGGCAUGCCUAACACAUGCAAGUCGAGGGGUAUAGUUAGCUUGCUAACUAGAGACCGGCGCACGGGUGCGUAACGCGUAUGCAAUCUACCUUUUACAGAGGGAUAGCCCAGAGAAAUUUGGAUUAAUACCUCAUAGUAUCUUUGCAUGGCAUCAGGGUAUUAUUAAAGUUCCAACGGUAAAAGAUGAGCAUGCGUCCUAUUAGCUAGAUGGUAAGGUAACGGCUUACCAUGGCAACGAUAGGUAGGGGUCCUGAGAGGGAGAUCCCCCACACUGGUACUGAGACACGGACCAGACUCCUACGGGAGGCAGCAGUGAGGAAUAUUGGACAAUGGGCGCAAGCCUGAUCCAGCCAUGCCGCUUGCAGGAAGAAGCAUCUAUGGUGUGUAAACUGCUUUUGUACGGGAAGAAACACUCCCUCGUGAGGGAGCUUGACGGUACCGUAAGAAUAAGGAUCGGCUAACUCCGUGCCAGCAGCCGCCGUAACAC